rnacentral:rRNA from 1 species
AUUGAACGCUGGCGGCAGGCCUAACACAUGCAAGUCGAGCGGAUGAAGGGAGCUUGCUCCUGGAUUCAGCGGCGGACGGGUGAGUAAUGCCUAUGAAUCUGCCUGGUAGUGGGGGAUAACGUCCGGAAACGGGCGCUAAUACCGCAUACGUCCUGAGGGAGAAAGUGGGGGAGCUUCGGACCUCACGCUAUCAGAUGAGCCUAGGUCGGAUUAGCUAGUUGGUGGGGUAAAGGCCUACCAAGGCGACGAUCCGUAACUGGUCUGAGAGGAUGAUCAGUCACACUGGAACUGAGACACGGUCCAGACUCCUACGGGAGGCAGCAGUGGGGAAUAUUAGACAAUGGGCGAAAGCCUGAUCCAGCCAUGCCGCGUGUGUGAAGAAGGUCUUCGGAUUGUAAAGCACUUUAAGUUGGGAGGAAGGGCAGUAAGUUAAUACCUUGCUGUUUUGACGGUACCAACAGAAUAAGCACCGGCUAACUUCGUG